CCUACGGGCGGCAGCAGUGAGGAAUAUUGGUCAAUGGACGCGAGCCUCAACCAGCCAAGUAGCGUGAAGGAUGACUGCCCUACGGGUUGUAAACUUCUUUUAUAUGGGAAUAAAGUGAUCCACGUGUGGCUUUUUGUAUGUACUUUAUGAAUAAGGAUCGGCUAACUCCGUGCCAGCAGCCGCGGUAAUACGGAGGAUCCGAGCGUUAUCCGGAUUUAUUGGGUUUAAAGGGAGCGUAGGUGGGUUGUUAAGUCAGUUGUGAAAGUUUGCGGCUCAACCGUAAAAUUGCAAUUGAUACUGGCAGCCUUGAGUACAGUAGAGGUAGGCGGAAUUCGUGGUGUAGCGGUGAAAUGCUUAGAUAUCACGAAGAACUCCGAUUGCGAAGGCAGCUUACUAAACUGCCACUGACAUUGAUGCUCGAAAGUGUGGGUAUCAAACAGGAUUAGAUACCCGAGUAGUC
rnacentral:rRNA from 1 species